AGUGAACGCUGGCGGUAGGCCUAACACAUGCAAGUCGAACGGCAGCACAGGAGAGCUUGCUCUCUGGGUGGCGAGUGGCGGACGGGUGAGGAAUACAUCGGAAUCUACUUUUUCGUGGGGGAUAACGUAGGGAAACUUACGCUAAUACCGCAUACGACCUACGGGUGAAAGCAGGGGAUCUUCGGACCUUGCGCGAUUGAAUGAGCCGAUGUCGGAUUAGCUAGUUGGCGGGGUAAAGGCCCACCAAGGCGACGAUCCGUAGCUGGUCUGAGAGGAUGAUCAGCCACGCUGGAACUGAGACGCGGUCCAGACUCCUACGGGAGGCAGCAGUGGGGAAUAUUGGACAAUGGGCGCAAGCCUGAUCCAGCCAUACCGCGUGGGUGAAGAAGGCCUUCGGGUUGUAAAGCCCUUUUGUUGGGAAAGAAAUCCAGCUGGUUAAUACCCGGUUGGGAUGACGGUACCCAAAGAAUAAGCACCGGCUAACUUCGUGCCAGCCGCCGCAGUAA
rnacentral:rRNA from 1 species